UACAGAGGUCCCGAGCGUUGUUCGGAUUCACUGGGCGUAAAGGGUGCGUAGGUGGUGAGGUAAGUCGGAUGUGAAAUCUCGGAGCUUAACUCCGAAACUGCAUUCGAUACUGCCGUGCUUGAGGACUGGAGAGGAGACUGGAAUUUACGGUGUAGCGGUGAAAUGCGUAGAUAUCGUAAGGAAGACCAGUGGCGAAGGCGGGUCUCUGGACAGUUCCUGACGCUGAGGCACGAAGGUCAGGGGAGCAAACGGG
rnacentral:rRNA from 1 species